AUGGGCGGGACCAGCCAGGUGCUCCGUAGAACGCUUAAUGACGGAAUGGAUUUAAGCACUGAGCUCCAUCGGGACAUUGCGAAACCCGUUCCCGAACCUGAACCUCCUGCCCCGCUGAGACCGGCUUCUCCUGGUAAAGACUCCAACAGCAAGACUGUGGUACAGCAGCCUGUGUCUGACACUGUGUCUGACACAGACUCUGUGAGCCUGCAGUGUACGAUAGAGACUGGGAGCUGUGCAGGAGAACACAGUGUUUACUGGUUCAGACAUGGAUCAGGAGAAUCCCUUCCUGGAGUCAUUUACAGCCACGGAAACAGGAGUGAUGAGUGUGAGAAGAGCCCUGAGGCUGGAUCUCCUACACGGAGCUGCGUCUACAGCCUCCCCAAGGGGAACCUCAGCCUCUCCGAUGCUGGGACUUACUACUGCGCCGUGGCCAUGUGUGGGGAGAUGCUGUUUGGCAAUGGGACCAAGCUGGAUAUAGAUGGUAACACCCAGUGA